rnacentral:tRNA from 1 species
GCCUGGGUGGCUUAGUUGGUUAAGCAUCCGACUUUGGCUCAGGUCACGAUCUCAUGGUUCGUGGGUUUGAGCCCCACAUCAGGCU